UACAGAGGGUGCAAGCGUUGUUCGGAAUUAUUGGGCGUAAAGCGCGUGUAGGCGGCCUUGCAAGUUGGGUGUGAAAGCCCUCGGCUUAACCGAGGAAGUGCGCCCAAAACUACGAGGCUUGAGUGCCGGAGAGGGUGGCGGAAUUCCCGGUGUAGAGGUGAAAUUCGUAGAUAUCGGGAGGAACACCAGUGGCGAAGGCGGCCACCUGGACGGUAACUGACGCUGAGACGCGAAAGCGUGGGGAG
rnacentral:rRNA from 1 species